GAACCUAGAAAAGACUGCACAGCCUGAAGACAGGUCAACAUACGGGUUUCUAAACAUUCACCCAAGAACUGAAUUUGAUAAGUAAACAGAAGGCAGAGAACUAAUUUGCUUAACAGAGAAAAUCAACUUAUUGGGUGGUUGAAUAUCUGCUUUAAAAUGGAAUCUAUCACUGGAAAUGACCUAUGGAAGAAUGCUGAGUAAAGGGGUCACUUAACAAAAGAAUCUCUUGGACAACUUGUGGUUACCAGGAUGAAAACAAACUCCAAGACGCCCUCAAGAGAACAGUGGUGACAAUCUCAAUUCCCAGGGUUCAGAUAUGUACACAGGUGGUGUCGGAUCAAUGCUUGCCAACCUGGGCUAAUGGUCUCUGGAUUCUUCUCUUAUGAACUCAAAAAUGGCAUUCAUGCUCAUCAGGAAAGUUUGAGAAAGGAGUUUUAUUAUAGAUUCAUGGGUGGACACAGAAGAGAAAGAAGACAGAGCUUCAGUACAGCAGGAAAUUAGAAUGGUAUAGUAGGAGUUAACAAAGCUUUAA